UACGGGGGGGGCAAGCGUUGUUCGGAUUUACUGGGCGUAAAGGGCUCGUAGGCGGCCAACUAAGUCAUACGUGAAAUCCCUCGGCUUAACCGGGGAACUGCGUCUGAUACUGGAUGGCUUGAGAUUGGGAGAGGGAUGCGGAAUUCCAGGUGUAGCGGUGAAAUGCGUAGAUAUCUGGAGGAACACCGGUGGCGAAGGCGGCAUCCUGGACCAACACUGACGCUGAGGAGCGAAAGCCAGGGGAGCAAACGGG
rnacentral:rRNA from 1 species